GUCCAGGGAUGGGAUCAAACCCACAGUGUUCCGCUUACCGGGCAGAAGCCAUGUUCAUUAGGCUACCCUGGA
rnacentral:tRNA from 1 species